AGUAAUGCUAAGGACAGACGCUUGCACAAACGCUUUCUAUCACACGCUUUGCUAGUGGGCCACGUUGCAUAAUUCUUUUAAUCACUCACUUGUUAACCGGUUAUAUGUGUAAAUACAUUUUUAAUUUUUUUUCUGCUUUCGUCUUCAUCCUUUGAAUAUUCAGUCCACUGUUCAAGAAAUAAAAGAGAAUAACGACACCCCCAUCCAACCUACCUUGAUGGCAGCCAACCUUCUACAUCAAUUUGUUUCAUCAUUCAUUUUUUUUUUCCUCAAACACCAUCCUUCUUCAAACAAUUACUAAUUUCCUUUCCUCUUUCUAUACAAAUGAAAAUAAUAUCUUCCACUCUCAAUUCACAUUUGUGUUUUUGUGCUUACAUCAACCAUGGUUUCUAAGGUAUAAGGAUCCUUUUCCUCUCUAAAAAUUGUCACCUCUCUCUCUCUAACUUUCCGACCGCCACAAACACCGGUUACACAGUCAAAUACCAGAUCUGACUUCUGAGCCUUCCAGUGCAAAAUUUUCCAUUUCCAUUCUUCUGUUUCGUGUUACAUUCUUCCAAUGACAUACCUCGUCACCAUAGUCGUUGCUUGCAAGCCUUUUUCAACAAUCAUUCUCACCAUGGAGACCCAUGAUUUCCUCCCUUUUCAUCGGAACCUGAUUCUAAAAUUAAGUCAUUGAGAAACAAUAUUUUUACAGGUGAUAGUUCAGCGGUGUGGUGUUUUAUGACGGCGUUGGACUACCAAUGACUUCUGAUGCUUGGUGGGAUGGUGGUGACCAGUGGUUUGAGAGAGAAAAAAAGAUGCAAUAUUGAAACUGGCUGUACCGGUUGCCUAUAACACUAUUUAGUGAAAAUAAUGACUUGGUCCAAUAACAGAGCGUGUGAUAGAAAGCGUUUGUGCAAGCGUUUGCCCGUAGCAUUACU
rnacentral:lncRNA from 1 species